rnacentral:rRNA from 5 species
AAAUUGAAGAGUUUGAUCAUGGCUCAGAUUGAACGCUGGCGGCAGGCCUAACACAUGCAAGUCGAACGGUAACAGGAAGCAGCUUGCUGCUUUGCUGACGAGUGGCGGACGGGUGAGUAAUGUCUGGGAAACUGCCUGAUGGAGGGGGAUAACUACUGGAAACGGUGGCUAAUACCGCAUAACGUCGCAAGACCAAAGAGGGGGACCUUCGGGCCUCUUGCCAUCAGAUGUGCCCAGAUGGGAUUAGCUUGUUGGUGAGGUAACGGCUCACCAAGGCGACGAUCCCUAGCUGGUCUGAGAGGAUGACCAGCCACACUGGAACUGAGACACGGUCCAGACUCCUACGGGAGGCAGCAGUGGGGAAUAUUGCACAAUGGGCGCAAGCCUGAUGCAGCCAUGCCGCGUGUAUGAAGAAGGCCUUCGGG